ACCCAACUUUAUUUUUCUAAGGUUGACCU
rnacentral:rRNA from 1 species